rnacentral:rRNA from 1 species
AGUGAACGCUGACGGUAGGCCUAACACAUGCAAGUCGAACGGCAGCACAGUAAGAGCUUGCUCUUACGGGUGGCGAGUGGCGGACGGGUGAGGAAUACAUCGGAAUCUACUUUUUCGUGGGGGAUAACGUAGGGAAACUUACGCUAAUACCGCAUACGACCUACGGGUGAAAGCAGGGGAUCUUCGGACCUUGCGCGAUUGAAUGAGCCGAUGUCGGAUUAGCUAGUUGGCGGGGUAAAGGCCCACCAAGGCGACGAUCCGUAGCUGGUCUGAGAGGAUGAUCAGCCACACUGGAACUGAGACACGGUCCAGACUCCUACGGGAGGCAGCAGUGGGGAAUAUUGGAAAUGGGCGCAAGCCUGAUCCAGCCAUACCGCGUGGGUGAAGAAGGCCUUCGGGUUGUAAAGCCCUUUUGUUGGGAAAGAAAAGCAGCAGGUUAAUACCCCGCUGUUCUGACGGUACCCAAAGAAUAAGCACCGGCCAACUUCGUG